AGAGAGUGCAAGCGUUAAUCGGAAUCACUGGGCGUAAAGCGCACGUAGGUUGAUAUUCGAGUCGGGAUGUGAAAGCCCUGGGCUUAACCUAGGAACUGCACCCGAUACUGGAUGUCUAGAGUAUGGUAGAGGGAAGUGGAAUUUCCGGUGUAGCGGUGAAAUGCGUAGAUAUCGGAAAGAACACCAGUGGCGAAGGCGGCUUCCUGGACCAAUACUGACACUGAGGUGCGAAAGCGUGGGGAGCAAACAGGAUUAGAGACCCUGGUAGUCCACGCCGUCAACGAUGAGAACUAGACGUUGGGGGGUAUAUCCCUUUAGUGUCGAAGCUAACGCGUUAAGUUCUCCGCCUGGGGAGUACGGCCGCAAGGUUA
rnacentral:rRNA from 1 species